GGCCCCUAUAGAGCAGGGUGUGGCCAGAGAUCUCUGGAGCCUCCAUGGACACUUGCUGACCGUUGCCUGGGGCACUUCAUUAGCGUCCCGGGCCUCAGUCUCCCUUCUCAUGGGCCGGCACGCACCCGCGUCGGCCUCCUGGCUGCCUUCCACACCGAUUUGCUGGCCUCACACGCAAACUGAGACGGUGGCCUCGCCAGGCGGGGACCCUGGCCAGCUCCGGACAAAGGCCUGGUGACUGGUCUGGGCAACGGCGACCCACUGCUGGCGAGGAGCCCACUCCGGGCCACAGACGUCCCCGCUGUCCCUCGCUUUGUCUCCGGCGGCAACGUGGCUCUGGGGUGACUUCUCUGUUGUCUCAGUUCAUCUCUGUCGUUUGCAGAACAUCCGCCUCCUUGGAGAGCAGCUGCCAGGGCGUCGGCUCCAGGGCUCGGCUGGGGGUCCCUCCAAAGGCUGGUGGGCCAGGAGCCCGUCCUCGGGUCACAGACGCACAGAUGAAUCGCUCGGGAAUAGCCGAGUUCACCCACAGCGCUGGCGGCAGGCCCCGCCCCCGAGAAGAGACCGUCCCUCCGAGCACAGGGGUGUCCACCGGCGUGGCCCAGGCCUCGGUGUCUGCACAGGCAGAGGUGGCAUCGUGUUCUCUUUACGAUCCACCGACCAGGUCAUUGCCCAGAGCCUUGGUCAGAGAUUAGAUAUAAAUGGAAACAUGUCCUCGGGUGAAGAUUAAAAAAAAAAAGGCCAGCCUGGACUUCUCUGUCUGGCAGAGAGCUGAGUUCCGAGAACCAUCUGAGGAUGUCUGGGGCACCCCGAGUCCCGGAAAGAAAGGCAGAUGCAGCAGCGUGGGGAGGCCCCUCCACACAGGCUGGUUUGUGGCACAGGCGUAGAGGAAGGGAGAGGCCCGGCUCCUGGUGCCCACAGGCCCGGCCUUGUCCAGACCAGCCCUUCCCUGUCAGGGUCCCUUGGAUGUCAUCAUGGCCCCACGCGCUGCUUUGUGAUAACAGAUACAAAAAGGCAAAUGCCUUUCCCACCCCGAGCGCAGUCGGCACUGUCCGGGCCUGCCCAGCGCCCACCCCGCAGGUCUGGGCUGGAGGUGGGGUCAGAAGGGCCCUUUGGCGGAGGCCUCGCAUUCCAGGAGACUGCAUGAGAUCCUGGAACUGCCUUGGGACGAUCUUGCAUCGAGGGUGUGUUUGUGUC